rnacentral:rRNA from 1 species
UACGUAGGUGGCAAGCGUUGUCCGGAUUUACGUGGCGUAAAGAGCGCGCAGGCGGUUCGUUCAAGUCGCGUGUGAAAGCCCCCGGCUACCAACAUGGGGGAGGGUCACGACCGUGAUACUGAGUCGGACUCGAAGGCAGGAGAGGGAAGUGGAAGUUCCCGGUGUCAGUGGUGAAAUGCGUAGAUAUCGGGAGGAACACCAGUGGCGAAGGCGACUUCCUGGCCUGUUCUUGACGCUGAGGCGCGAAAGCUAGGGGAGCAAACGGG